rnacentral:rRNA from 1 species
UUGUAAAAUGUCGGCGAGCGGCGGACGGCUGAGUAACGCGUGGGAACGUACCCCAAAGUGAGGGAUAACGCAUCGAAAGGUGUGCUAAUACCGCAUAUGGUCUUCGGAUUAAAGCCUUCGGGCGCUUUGGGAACGGCCUGCGUAAGAUUAGAUAGUUGGUGGGGUAAUGGCCUACCAAGUCGACGAUCUUUAACUGGUUUGAGAGGAUGAUCAGUCAGACUGGAACUGAGACACGGUCCAG